rnacentral:rRNA from 1 species
AGUAGCAGACGGCUGAGUAAUACAUAGGAACAUACCCGGAAGACGAGCAUAGCUCACCGAAAGGUGGGGUAAUUCUCGAUAGUCUCGAAAGAGUAAACGCUUUUGCGCUUCCGGAUUGGCCUAUGGCCUAUCAGGUUGUUGGUGAGGUAAAGGCUCACCAAGCCUAUGACGGGUAGCUGGUCUGAGAGGAUGGUCAGCCAGACUGGGACUGCGAUACGGCCCAGACUCCUACGGGAGGCAGCAACUAGGAAUUAUGCACAAUGGACGAAAGUCUGAUGCUGCGACGUCGCGUGGAGGAUGAAGGUCUUAGGAUCGUAAACUCCUUUUAUGAGGGAACAAGUUCUGAGUGUACCUCAUGAAUAAGUGCCUGCCAACCACGUGCCAGAAGCAUCGGUAAUACGUGGGACACAAGCGUUAUCCGGAUUUACUGGGCGUAAAGAGAUGCGUAGGCGUCUGCUUAAGUUUUCUGUUAAAUCUAUCGAUUCAAUCGAUAAACUGCAGGGGAUACUGGGCAGAUUGAGUAAGGUAGGGAAGAAGGGAAUUCCUGGUGGAGAGGUUAAAUUCGUUGAUAUCAGGAGGAACACCAAUAGCGAAGGCACUUCUUUGGACCUUUACUGACGCUAAGGCUCGAAAGCGUGGGGAGCAAAACGGAUUAGAUACCCGUGUAGUCCACGCUGUAAACUAUCCCUGUUAGGUGUCUGUCUAAAUCUUUGAAUGUUCUUCGGAAUAGGAUGGGAUCAGAUGGGUGCCGCAGCUAACGCGUUAAACAGGGCGCCUGGGGGAGUACGGUCGCAAGACUAAAACUCAAAGGAAUUGACGGGGACCCGCACAAGCAGUGGAGCGCCUGGUUUAAUUCGAUGAUCAGCGAAGAACCUCACCUAGGCUUGAA